rnacentral:rRNA from 1 species
CUCAGAACGAACGCUGGCGGCAGGCUUAACACAUGCAAGUCGAACGCCCCGCAAGGGGAGUGGCAGACGGGUGAGUAACGCGUGGGAACGUGCCCUUCGGUUCGGAAUAACUCAGGGAAACUUGAGCUAAUACCGGAUACGUGCGAGAGCAGAAAGAUUUAUCGCCGAAGGAUCGGCCCGCGUCCGAUUAGCUAGUUGGUGAGGUAAUGGCUCACCAAGGCGACGAUCGGUAGCUGGUCUGAGAGGAUGAUCAGCCACAUUGGGACUGAGACACGGCCCAAACUCCUACGGGAGGCAGCAGUGGGGAAUAUUGGACAAUGGGCGCAAGCCUGAUCCAGCCAUGCCGCGUGAGUGAUGAAGGCCUUAGGGUUGUAAAGCUCUUUCGCCAGGGACGAUAAUGACGGUACCUGGAUAAGAAGCCCCGGCUAACUUCGUGCCAGCAGCCGCGGUAAUACGAAGGGGGCUAGCGUUGUUCGGAUUUACUGGGCGUAAAGCGCACGUAGGCGGAUUUUUAAGUCAGGGGUGAAAUCCCGAGGCUCAACCUCGGAACUGCCCUUGAUACUGGAAGUCUCGAGUCCGGGAGAGGUGAGUGGAACUGCGAGUGUAGAGGUGAAAUUCGUAGAUAUUCGCAAGAACACCAGUGGCGAAGGCGGCUCACUGGCCCGGUACUGACGCUGAGGUGCGAAAGCGUGGGGAGCAAACAGGAUUAGAUACCCUGGUAGUCCACGCCGUAAACGAUGGAUGCUAGCCGUUGGGGAGCUUGCUCUUCAGUGGCGCAGCUAACGCUUUAAGCAUCCCGCCUGGGGAGUACGGUCGCAAGAUUAAA